ACAGAGGUCCCAAGCGUUGUUCGGAUUUACUGGGCGUAAAGGGUGCGUAGGCGGUCGGGCCAGUCUGGUGUGAAACCUCCGAGCUCAACUCGGAAAGUGCAUCGGAUACUGCUCGGCUAGAGGAUUGGAGGGGAGACUGGAAUUCUCGGUGUAGCAGUGAAAUGCGUAGAUAUCGAGAGGAACACCAGUGGCGAAGGCGAGUCUCUGGACAAUUCCUGACGCUGAGGCACGAAAGCUAGGGGAGCAAACAG
rnacentral:rRNA from 1 species